rnacentral:misc_RNA from 1 species
GAACGCACAUUGCGCUCUCUGGUAUUCCGGAGAGCAUGCUUGUUUGAGUAUCAGUAAAACACCCUCAGCUCCCCCGCUUCUUAGGAAGAGAGGAGGCUGGACUUGAGAGAUCCCAACGGCAGUGAGAACUGCUGGCGGGUCCCUUGAAAUGCCGGGGCGGCUGGACACAUCUUCUGAGCUAUAAGCAUUACUUAUUUAGUCCCGUAAAACGGAUUAUAUCUAUUGCUGCAGCUAACAUAAAGGUCGAUUGUUCUUGUGCCCGACUGAUGCAGGAAAAUGAAGGCGUCUAAUAGCGUCCUUUGUUCAACUCGAUCUCAAAUCAAGCAAGACUACCCGCUGAACUUA